CUUCACAGUCUCUUGAGUUUUAUGUCAUGCUGAGAGUUCCUUCGUCUGUUGAGGAUUAUUAAAAUAUCCUCCCAUAUUUUCUCUUUUGCUUUUUACUUCAGUCUCUGAUCUAUCUAAAAUGUGUUUGUUGUGCAGAGUGAGAUGAGAAGUUGGGUUUGAAUCCUCGUCUGUCUGACCCUCGGGCCAUGCUUUCCUCACUGUUCUGCGUCCCUCAGACAAGCGAUUCUCCAGUCUCCACCUCUGCGGGCCUCAUCUUCCCACAGGAGGAAUCCCAGACCCACACACGCAUACUCACCGCAUCGCUUUGUGUGUCAGGACCAAGUCGGGGGUAGUCAUCCAGCCCCGGAAGUGCCUAGAAACAGUGUCAAGAGCUGUUGGGAGGAUGUUUCCACAGUGCAGGGACUGAAGGAGCAUCCUUCCUGGCCAGCUAGCUAUUGACUGGAGUCAAAUGAGCUGACUGGUCUGUUUGGAAACAUCUCCUGGGAUGCUUUGAUAAGAAUGAGCUUAGCAGAGGCGGAGUCAAGAUGGCGGCGUAGGCAGACUCUGAACUCACCUCCUCCUGUGGACACAGCCAAUUUACAACUACUCGUGGAAAAAUUACCCCUGAGACAGAAGUGAAAACUGGAUAAGAGGAACUCCUGCAACAACGGACAAUCCUAACUGAGGUAGAAGAAGCAGAGACUCCCUUCUGGAGAGGAAAACGCCGCCUUCACAAGCCGCCAGCGUCACGACCGCCGGGAGCAGCUCACAGAGUCCACAUAUAAGUGAGAUCAUACAGUAUUGGUCUUUGGCUAAGCUCCCAUCCUCCCAGAGGGUGACGGCAGAAGGAAUGAGACGGGUGAAGAGCUGGGUUCGGCAGCUGUGAUCCUUGGGGCGUCUUGGUAGCUAGAAGUUA